rnacentral:rRNA from 1 species
AAGGCUGAUGGCGACCGGCGCACGGGUGAGUAACACGUAUCCAACCUGCCGUCUACUCUUGGACAGCCUUCUGAAAGGAAGAUUAAUACAAGAUGGCAUCAUGAGUCCGCAUGUUCACAUGAUUAAAGGUAUUCCGGUAGACGAUGGGGAUGCGUUCCAUUAGAUAGUAGGCGGGGUAACGGCCCACCUAGUCUUCGAUGGAUAGGGGUUCUGAGAGGAAGGUCCCCCACAUUGGAACUGAGACACGGUCCAAACUCCUACGGGAGGCAGCAGUGAGGAAUAUUGGUCAAUGGGCGCAGGCCUGAACCAGCCAGGUAGCGUGAAGGAUGACUGCCCUAUGGGUUGUAAACUUCUUUUAUAAAGGAAUAAAGUCGGGUAUGGAUACCCGUUUGCAUGUACUUUAUGAAUAAGGAUCGGCUAACUCCGUGCCAGCAGCCGCGGUAAUACGGAGGAUCCGAGCGUUAUCCGGAUUUAUUGGGUUUAAAGGGAGCGUAGAUGGAUGUUUAAGUCAGUUGUGAAAGUUUGCGGCUCAACCGUAAAAUUGCAGUUGAUACUGGAUAUCUUGAGUGCAGUUGAGGCAGGCGGAAUUCGUGGUGUAGCGGUGAAAUGCUUAGAUAUCACGAAGAACUCCGAUUGCGAAGGCA